GCGUUUGUAGCUCAGUUGGAUAGAGCGUUCGGCUUCGAACCGAAAGGUCGGGAGUUCAAGUCUUCCCAAGCGCGCCA
rnacentral:tRNA from 1 species